CCACUCAGCCUCCAUUAACACCCAAGAGUUCUCCUCUAACAUCUCCCGACCAAGACACUGCUGAGGUCACAACUCCCGGUGUCCAAGAUGGCUGUGGAUGCAAAGAAGCCUGCUGACUAGCAGCUCCUCCUGGAGGGUUUUGUGAUAGUAAAGGUGAAGUUUGAGGAAGACCACCUCAGGGAUUAGGAUUUUUACCUUCCAGAGAACCAAUCUCUUGCCUGGGAGACCUUCAGCCAGCAGUUUAGACACUGCUGCUGCUAGGAUUCCUUAGGACCCUGUCUGAACCUGAAAAUUAUGACAUCUAGCAGUCUCUGGGGUGCAAUGUUCAGUGAGAACUUUAAGCAAGGCUGAUUUUUUCUUUUCUUUUUUUUUUGUCAACAUGAGAGUCACUAUGAAAAGGCUUAUCCAUUAUGAGACUCAAUGUUAUUAAUCUCUUAUUACAUAAGGAACACCUAGGUGCCACAUUGGAGAGUGAGUCUGCAUGGGUAAUAAAUUCUGAAAAAAACAAGGAUUUACAGAACUUUAUUUGUGAUUUGACCCUAUUCGGUACAAUAAAGUGUUCAUGCAAUAAAAUAGCUAUGCUGAAACUGCCA
rnacentral:lncRNA from 1 species